rnacentral:snoRNA from 1 species
UAGCCGCUUCCAGUAGUGAAAAUAAGUGCUACAUUAAAGUCUUGUCAUAAAGGGGGUUUCUUGGCAUUUUCCACCAAGAUGCUCUUUUAAAGUAGGACACAAAU